rnacentral:rRNA from 1 species
UACGUAGGGGGCAAGCGUUGUCCGGAUUUAUUGGGCGUAAAGAGCGUGUAGGCGGUUCGGUAGGUCCGUUGUGAAAACUCGAGGCUCAACCUCGAGACGCCGAUGGAAACCCUCGAACUAGAGUCCGGAAGAGGAGAAUGGAAUUCCUGGUGUAGCGGUGAAAUGCGUAGAUAUCAGGAGGAACACCAGUGGUGUAGACGGCGUUCUGGACGAGUACUGACGCUGAGAUACGAAAGCGUGGGGAGCAAACAGG